AGAGUUUGAUCCUGGCUCAGGACGAACGCUGGCGGCGUGCUUAACACAUGCAAGUCGAGCGAUGAAGCUCCUUCGGGAGUGGAUUAGCGGCGGACGGGUGAGUAACACGUGGGUAACCUGCCUCAUAGAGGGGAAUAGCCUUUCGAAAGGAAGAUUAAUACCGCAUAAGAUUGUAGUACCGCAUGGUACAGCAAUUAAAGGAGUAAUCCGCUAUGAGAUGGACCCGCGUCGCAUUAGCUAGUUGGUGAGGUAACGGCUCACCAAGGCGACGAUGCGUAGCCGACCUGAGAGGGUGAUCGGCCACAUUGGGACUGAGACACGGCCCAGACUCCUACGGGAGGCAGCAGUGGGGAAUAUUGCACAAUGGGGGAAACCCUGAUGCAGCAACGCCGCGUGAGUGAUGACGGUCUUCGGAUUGUAAAGCUCUGUCUUUAAGGACGAUAAUGACGGUACCUAAGGAGGAAGCCACGGCUAACUACGUGCCAGCAGCCGCGGUAAUACGUAGGUGGCAAGCGUUGUCCCGAUU
rnacentral:rRNA from 1 species